AUUGAACGCUGGCGGCAUGCCUUACACAUGCAAGUCGAACGGCAGCACGGGGCAACCUGGUGGCGAGUGGCGAACGGGUGAGUAAUGCAUCGGAACGUACCUUUCAGUGGGGGAUAACGUAGCGAAAGUUACGCUAAUACCGCAUAUUCUGUGAGCAGGAAAGCAGGGGAUCGAAAGACCUUGCGCUGAUUGAGCGGCCGAUGUCAGAUUAGCUAGUUGGUGAGGUAAAGGCUCACCAAGGCGACGAUCUGUAGCGGGUCUGAGAGGAUGAUCCGCCACACUGGAACUGAGACACGGUCCAGACUCCUACGGGAGGCAGCAGUGGGGAAUUUUGGACAAUGGGGGCAACCCUGAUCCAGCCAUGCCGCGUGAGUGAAGAAGGCCUUCGGGUUGUAAAGCUCUUUCGGCCGGGAGGAAAUCGCACGGGCUAAUACCCUGUAUGGAUGACGGUACCGGAAUAAGAAGCACCGGCUAACUACGUGCCAGCCGCCGCCGUAAGAC
rnacentral:rRNA from 1 species